CCUUAUCUCCCACGAGAAUGAAGACCAUUCUCAGCAAUCAGACUGUCGACAUUCCAGAAAAUGUGGACAUCACUCUUAAGGGACGUACAGUUAUCGUGAAGGGUCCCAGAGGAACCCUGCAGAGGGACUUCAAUCACAUCAAUGUAGAACUUAGUCUCCUUGGAAAGAAAAAGAAGAGGCUCCGAGUUGACAAAUGGUGGGGAAAUAAAAAGGAACUGGCUACUGUUUGCACUAUGUGUAGUCAUGUACAGAAUAUGAUCAAGGGUGUCACACUGGGUUUUCAUUACAAGAUGAGGUCUGUGUAUGCUCACUUCCCCAUCAACGUUGUUAUCCAGGAGAAUGGGUCUCUUGUUGAAAUACGAAAUUUCUUAGGUGAAAAAUACAUCUGCAGGGUUCGGAUGAGGCCAGGUGUUGCUUGUUCAGUAUCUCAAGCACAGAAAGAUGAGUUGAUCCUCGAAGGAAAUGACAUUGAGCUUGUUUCAAAUUCGGCUGCAUUGAUUCAGCAGGCCACAACCGUUAAAAACAAGGAUAUCAGAAAAUUUGGGGAUGGUAUCUAUGUCUCUGAAAAACGAACAGCUCAGCAGGCUGAUGAAUAAGAUCUAAGAGUUGUCCAGCCACAUUAAGACACCACAUGAUUACUAAGAUGUAUUUGUAAUUUUGAUGGUGCAAUAAA